rnacentral:rRNA from 1 species
GGGCUUGCCCUCUGAUUCAGCGGCGGACGGGUGAGUAAUGCCUAGGAAUCUGCCUGAUAGUGGGGGACAACGUUUCGAAAGGAACGCUAAUACCGCAUACGUCCUACGGGAGAAAGCAGGGGACCUUCGGGCCUUGCGCUAUCAGAUGAGCCUAGGUCGGAUUAGCUAGUUGGUGAGGUAACGGCUCACCAAGGCGACGAUCCGUAACUGGUCUGAGAGGAUGAUCAGUCACACUGGAACUGAGACACGGUCCAGACUCCUACGGGAGGCAGCAGUGGGGAAUAUUGGACAAUGGGCGAAAGCCUGAUCCAGCCAUGCCGCGUGUGUGAAGAAGGUCUUCGGAUUGUAAAGCACUUUAAGUUGGGAGGAAGGGCAUUAACCUAAUACGUUAGUGUUUUGACGUUACCGACAGAAUAAGCACCGGCUAACUUCGUGCCAGCAGCCGCGGUAAUACGAAGGGUGCAAGCGUUAAUCGGAAUUACUGGGCGUAAAGCGCGCGUAGGUGGUUUGUUAAGUUGAAUGUGAAAGCCCCGGGCUCAACCUGGGAACUGCAUCCAAAACUGGCAAGCUAGAGUAUGGCAGAGGGUGGUGGAAUUUCCUGUGUAGCGGUGAAAUGCGUAGAUAUAGGAAGGAACACCAGUGGCGAAGGCGACCACCUGGGCUAAUACUGACACUGAGGUGCGAAAGCG